rnacentral:rRNA from 1 species
GACGAACGCUGGCGGCGUGCUUAACACAUGCAAGUCGAACGGAAAGGCCUGCUUUUGUGGGGUGCUCGAGUGGCGAACGGGUGAGUAACACGUGAGUAACCUGCCCUUGACUUUGGGAUAACUUCAGGAAACUGGGGCUAAUACCGGAUAGGAGCUCCUGCUGCAUGGUGGGGGUUGGAAAGUUUCGGCGGUUGGGGAUGGACUCGCGGCUUAUCAGCUUGUUGGUGGGGUAGUGGCUUACCAAGGCUUUGACGGGUAGCCGGCCUGAGAGGGUGACCGGCCACAUUGGGACUGAGAUACGGCCCAGACUCCUACGGGAGGCAGCAGUGGGGAAUAUUGCACAAUGGGCGGAAGCCUGAUGCAGCAACGCCGCGUGCGGGAUGACGGCCUUCGGGUUGUAAACCGCUUUCGCCUGUGGCGAAGCGUGAGUGACGGUAAUGGGUAAAGAAGCACCGGCUAACUACGUG